UACGAGGGGGGCAAGCGUUGUUCGGAAUUAUUGGGCGUAAAGGGUGCGUAGGUGGUUCGGCAAGUCUUGUGUGAAAUCUUCAGGCUCAACUUGAAGUCUGCACAAGAAACUGCCGGGCUUGAGUAUGGGAGAGGUGAGUGGAAUUUCCGGUGUAGCGGUGAAAUGCGUAGAUAUCGUAAGGAAGACCAGUGGCGAAGGCGGGUCUCUGGACAGUUCCUGACGCUGAGGGCACGAAG
rnacentral:rRNA from 1 species